UACGUAGGGUGCAAGCGUUAAUCGGAAUUACUGGGCGUAAAGCAUGCGCAGGCGGUUGUGCAAGACAGAUGUGAAAUCCCCGGGCUCAACCUGGGAAUUGCAUUUGUGACUGCACGGCUAGAGUGUGUCAGAGGGGGGUAGAAUUCCACGUGUAGCAGUGAAAUGCGUAGAGAUGUGGAGGAAUACCGAUGGCGAAGGCAGCCCCCUGGGAUAACACUGACGCUCAUGCACGAAAGCGUGGGGAGCAAACAGG
rnacentral:rRNA from 1 species